UUGCAGAUUGCUGAAAAUUCAACCUUGAAGGAGAUAUUCAACUGCAGAUAUUUAGAAAAGUUUCAUGUUAUUUGUUGUGGUCCUGCUGAUGGACUUGUAAUAUCUGGACACUCUCUUGCACUUGAUGAAUCAAGUAUGACUGGGGAAAGCAAGAUUGUGAGUAUUCUGUGGAUCUCUGAUUGAGUAUUCUGUGAGUAUGACCCAGCUCGGUAUUCCGAUCAUCUACGGAAUUUAUGCGAUUCAUGGGAACAACAAUGUCUAUGGUGCCAUUGUUUUCCCCCACUUUAUUGGGCUCGGAGCUACUAGAGAUGCAGAUCUAGUGAAGAGAAUAGGGGUUGUGACUGCCCUUGAAGGCUAGUGGAGCCCAAUAUGAUUUUGCUCCAUGUGUAGCUGUAAGUUGCAAAGGUUGAUUUAAUUGUGCUGUAUCCACAACUUUCUACUGUUGGUGUCUUUAAGUGGAGUAAUUGUGAUUGUUUUCUUUUAGUGGAGUAAUACUGUUGGUGUCUCCUAGAGUCUGCCUAGUGCACAUACAGUUUUUAUGAAAUCUCACUUCAUUCAACUCAAAAAGAGUGGAAAAAUAGAGAUAGAAAA